rnacentral:rRNA from 1 species
UACGAAGGGGGCUAGCGUUGCUCGGAAUCACUGGGCGUAAAGCGCACGUAGGCGGAUUGCUAAGUCAGGGGUGAAAUCCUGGAGCUCAACUCCAGAACUGCCUUUGAUACUGGCGACCUUGAGUCCGGGAGAGGUGAGUGGAACUGCGAGUGUAGAGGUGAAAUUCGUAGAUAUCCGCAAGAACACCAGUGGCGAAGGCGGCUCACUGGCCCGGUACUGACGCUGAGGUGCGAAAGCGUGGGGAGCAAACAGG